rnacentral:rRNA from 1 species
GCGAUGUGCCUAAGGUAUGCAAGUCGAACGAUUCCUGUAUCUUCGGAUACAGGGAGUGGCAAACGGCUGAGUAACGCGUAGGAACCCACCCCAAACUCGAGUAUAGCCCCGCGAAAGCGGGGGUAAUCCUCGAUAGUCCGUGAAGUAUUUACUUCACGGUAAAGCUUUUGCGGUUUGGGAUGGGCCUGCGUCCUAUCAGGUAGUUGGUGAGGUAAAUGCUCACCAAGCCUAUGGCGGGUAGCUGGUCUGAGAGGAUGGUCAGCCAGACUGGGACUGCGACACGGCCCAGACUCCUACGGGAGGCAGCAACUAGGAAUUGUGCGCAAUGGACGAAAGUCUGACGCCGCGACAUCGCGUGGAGGAUGAAGGUCUUCGGAUUGUAAACUCCUUUUCUUACCGAACAAGUUCUGAGUGUAGGUAAGGAAUAAGUGCCUGCUAACCACGUGCCAGAAGCAUCGGUAAUACGUGGGGCACGUGCGUUAUCCGGAUUUACUGGGCGUAAAGAGAAGCGUAGGCGGCUCGAUAAGUUUGGUGUUAAAUCUUCCGGCUCAACCGGAAACAAGCACCGAAAACUAUCGAGAUUGAGUCGAGUAGGGAAGAGGGGAAUUCCUGGUGGAGCGGUUAAAUGCGUAGAUAUCAGGAGGAAUACCAAGGGCGAAGGCACCUCUUUGGACUCGUACUGACGCUGAGGCUCGAAAGCGUGGGUAGCAAAACGGAUUAGAUACCCGUGUAGUCCGCGCCGUAAACGAUCCCUGUUAGAUGUA